rnacentral:rRNA from 1 species
GAUGAACGCUGGCGGCGUGCUUAACACAUGCAAGUCGAACGGAAAGGCCCAAGCUUGCUUGGGUACUCGAGUGGCGAACGGGUGAGUAACACGUGGGUGAUCUGCCCUGCACUUCGGGAUAAGCCUGGGAAACUGGGUCUAAUACCGGAUAGGACGAUGGUUUGGAUGCCAUUGUGGAAAGUUUUUUCGGUGUGGGAUGAGCUCGCGGCCUAUCAGCUUGUUGGUGGGGUAAUGGCCUACCAAGGCGUCGACGGGUAGCCGGCCUGAGAGGGUGUACGGCCACAUUGGGACUGAGAUACGGACCAGACUCCUACGGGAGGCAGCAGUGGGGAAUAUUGCACAAUGGGCGCAAGCAUGAUGCAGCGACGCCGCGUGGGGGAUGACGGCCUUCGGGUUGUAAACUCCUUUCGCUAGGGACGAAGCGUUUUUGUGACGGUACCUGGAGAAGAAGCACCGGCUAACUACGUG